rnacentral:rRNA from 1 species
UGGGGAAUAUUGCACAAUGGGCGCAAGCCUGAUGCAGCCAUGCCGCGUGUAUGAAGAAGGACUUCGGGUUGUAAAGUACUUUCAGCGGGGAGGAAGGUGUUGAGGUUAAUAACCUCAGCAAUUGACGUUACCCGCAGAAGAAGCACCGGCUAACUCCGUGCCAGCAGCCGCGGGCAUACGGAGGGUGCAAGCGUUAAUCGGAAUUACUGGGCGUAAAGCGCACGCAGGCGGUCUGUCAAGUCGGAUGUGAAAUCCCCGGGCUCAACCUGGGAACGGCAUCCGAAACUGGCAGGCUUGAGUCUUGUAGAGGGGGGUAGAAUUCCAGGUGUAGCGGUGAAAUGCGUAGAGAUCUGGAGGAAUACCGGUGGCGAAGGCGGCCCCCUGGACAAAGACUGACGCUCAGGUGCGAAAGCGUGGGGAGCAAACA